rnacentral:lncRNA from 1 species
ACCCCUCUCCCUUCCUUGGUUCAGCCGCCAUCAGCAAAGGAAAAAGAAGAAGAGGCGUGCACCUCUCCUUGGCCUCCUUCCUUGGUUCCAACGCAGGGAAGAAAAGAAAGGCUGCAGGGUAUUCGUUCUUCUUCCACUAUCCCUCCUUCUUCUUCCUCCUUUCAAGCACAUUCAAGAGUUGAAAGAAAGAGAGGAGAUCAGCCAUCAAA